rnacentral:rRNA from 1 species
CCUACGGGUGGCAGCAGUGGGGAAUAUUGCACAAUGGGCGCAAGCCUGAUGCAGCCAUGCCGCGUGUGUGAAGAAGGCCUUCGGGUUGUAAAGCACUUUCAGCGGGGCGGAAGGCGGUGAGGUUAAUAACCUCAUCGAUUGACGUUACCCGCAGAAGAAGCACCGGCUAACUCCGUGCCAGCAGCCGCGGUAAUACGGAGGGUGCAAGCGUUAAUCGGAAUUACUGGGCGUAAAGCGCACGCAGGCGGUCUGUCAAGUCGGAUGUGAAAUCCCCGGGCUCAACCUGGGAACUGCAUUCGAAACUGGCAGGCUAGAGUCUUGUAGAGGGGGGUAGAAUUCCAGGUGUAGCGGUGAAAUGCGUAGAGAUCUGGAGGAAUACCGGUGGCGAAGGCGGCCCCCUGGACAAAGACUGACGCUCAGGUGCGAAAGCGUGGGGAUCAAACAGGAUUAGAUACCCUAGUAGUC